UACGUAGGUGGCAAGCGUUGUCCGGAUUUACUGGGCGUAAAGGAUGCGUAGGUGGAUAUUUAAGUGGGAUGUGAAAUACCCGGGCUCAACUUGGGUGCUGCAUUCCAAACUGGAUAUCUAGAGUGCAGGAGAGGAAAGUGGAAUUCCUAGUGUAGCAGUGAAAUGCGUAGAUAUCGGGAGGAACACCAGUGGCGAAGGCGGUUGCCUGGGGCUUUGCUGACGCUGAUGCGCGAAAGCGUGGGGAGCGAUCCGG
rnacentral:rRNA from 1 species